GGUUAUAUAAUAAUUACACAGAUGAAUAAUAUAAGGUCAAAACCGUAAAGGAAAACGUUUAAUCUAAUUUAUCCUUUUAUAGGGACACUAACUAAUCUAAAUCAACAAUAUAUUCAAAAUCCACUAAAUAUUCAAAGUAAGUAUAAGUAACGUGUUACUUAGGGUAAGGUUAUACAGGGUGAUUCUUUUAUCGUUGAACACUCAUUAUCUCGAAAAGUAUUAACUUUUUUAGAUUUUUUUUUU